CUGUGCUCUUCGAGCACUGCAAAUCCAUGUUCCUCUGUGGCUGGAAGUGAUGUGCUGCUCUUGGCAUUCUACCCAGCCUGGCUCUCCUUGGUGUUCAGUGGCUUCUGCAGGGUGGGGUUCAUUUCUUUUGUUCCUGAGAGCUGAAUAGGAGAAAGGGACAUUUCAGCUUUUCUUGAUAAAGGUGAUCAGUCCAAAAGAGGGAGUUUGGGGGGAGGAGUGGAUGUUGCUGAAUGGAGUGGAACGAGUUACUCAUUCUUCAGAAUAGCCAGAAGGUGCAACCCAGGAGGAAAAACAUAUUUAACAAUGACAGAAGUGCCCCACAGUCUUUUUGUCUUUGGGCCUUACACAAUGCAUGAUGUGAUGUCAUAAUUUUUGUAAAAUAGUGUGUAUAAUAACAAUACAAUUUAGGAGUGGAAAACUGUUCUCAGAAACCCUGGACUUCCUUAGAGUAGGAAGCUUUUUUGCACUAAGCUCACAAAGACUAGCUAGUCUUUUUGCUUCUUUUACUAGAAAGAUUAAACAAAAACCUUUAGAACGUCUGUAAUGUGCUAUCAAAGGUGAGUUGUAGGAUGCUUUGCUUCUCCAAGUUGUUGUUUAAAUAAAUCUGUAUUUGCCCCUUUCUAAGCA
rnacentral:lncRNA from 1 species